GACGAACGCUGGCGGCGUGCCUAAUACAUGCAAGUCGAACGGAAAGGCUCCGGUUUGGUAGUGUGCACGAGUGGCGAACGGGUGAGUAACACGUGAGUAACCUGCCCUCGACUCCGGGAUAACUUUGGGAAACUGGGGUUAAUACCGCAUAGGAGCUCCUGCUGCAUGGCGGUGGUUGGAAAGCUUCGGCGGCUGGGGAUGGACUGGGGGCUAAUCAGCUUGCUGGCGGGGUAGUGGAUUCCCAAGGCUUUGACGGGUAGCCGGCCUGGGAGGGUGACCGGACCCAUUGGGACUGGGAUGCGGCCCGGACUCGUACGGGAGGGAAGGGUGGAGAAUAGAGCACACGGCGCGGGGGGCUGGCGCAGCAGCGCCGCGUCGGGGAUGACGGGAUUCGGGUUGUAAUGCGCUUUGGCCUGGGACGAAGAGAGAGUGACGGUAACGGGUAAAGAAGCACCGGCUAACUACGUG
rnacentral:rRNA from 1 species